rnacentral:rRNA from 1 species
GACGAACGCUGGCGGCGUGCUUAACACAUGCAAGUCGAACGAUGAAGCCCAGCUUGCUGGGUGGAUUAGUGGCGAACGGGUGAGUAACACGUGAGUAACCUGCCCUUGACUCUGGGAUAAGCGUUGGAAACGACGUCUAAUACCGGAUACGAGCUUCCACCGCAUGGUGAGUUGCUGGAAAGAAUUUUGGUCAAGGAUGGACUCGCGGCCUAUCAGCUUGUUGGUGAGGUAAUGGCUCACCAAGGCGACGACGGGUAGCCGGCCUGAGAGGGUGACCGGCCACACUGGGACUGAGACACGGCCCAGACUCCUACGGGAGGCAGCAGUGGGGAAUAUUGCACAAUGGGCGAAAGCCUGAUGCAGCAACGCCGCGUGAGGGACGACGGCCUUCGGGUUGUAAACCUCUUUUAGCAGGGAAGAAGCGAAAGUGACGGUACCUGCAGAAAAAGCACCGGCUAACUACGUGCCAGCAGCCGCGGUAAUACGUAGGGUGCAAGCGUUGUCCGGAAUUAUUGGGCGUAAAGAGCUCGUAGGCGGUUUGUCGCGUCUGCUGUGAAAUCCCGAGGCUCAACCUCGGGUCUGCAGUGGGUACGGGCAGACUAGAGUGCGGUAGGGGAGAUUGGAAUUCCUGGUGUAGCGGUGGAAUGCGCAGAUAUCAGGAGGAACACCGAUGGCGAAGGCAGAUCUCUGGGCCGCUACUGACGCUGAGGAGCGAAAGGGUGGGGAGCAAACAGGCUUAGAUACCCUGGUAGUCCACCCCGUAAACGUUGGGCGCUAGAUGUGGGGACCAUUCCACGGUUUCCGUGUCGUAGCUAACGCAUUAAGCGCCCCGCCUGGGGAGUACGGCCGCAAGGCUAAAACUCAAAGGAAUUGACGGGGGCCCGCACAAGCGGCGGAGCAUGCGGAUUAAUUCGAUGCAACGCGAAGAACCUUACCAAGGCUUGACGUAUACGAGAACGGGCCAGAAAUGGUCAACUCUUUGGACACUCGUAAACAGGUGGUGCAUGGUUGUCGUCAGCUCGUGUCGUGAGAUGUUGGGUUAAGUCCCGCAACGAGCGCAACCCUCGUUCUAUGUUGCCAGCACGUAAUGGUGGGAACUCAUGGGAUACUGCCGGGGUCAACUCGGAGGAAGGUGGGGACGACGUCAAAUCAUCAUGCCCCUUAUGUCUUGGGCUUCACGCAUGCUACAAUGGCCAGUACAAAGGGCUGCAAUACCGUAAGGUGGAGCGAAUCCCAAAAAGCUGGUCCCAGUUCGGAUUGAGGUCUGCAACUCGACCUCAUGAAGUCGGAGUCGCUAGUAAUCGCAGAUCAGCAACGCUGCGGUGAAUACGUUCCCGGGCCU